GGAUCCAGACUUUGAUUAUGGCUCAGGACGAACGCUGGCGGCGCGCCUAACACAUGCAAGUCGAACGAGCGAGAGAGAGCUUGCUUUCUCGAGCGAGUGGCGAACGGGUGAGUAACGCGUGAGGAACCUGCCUCAAAGAGGGGGACAACAGUUGGAAACGACUGCUAAUACCGCAUAAGCCCACGGUGCCGCAUGGCGCAGAGGGAAAAGGAGCAAUCCGCUUUGAGAUGGCCUCGCGUCCGAUUAGCUAGUUGGUGAGGUAAUGGCCCACCAAGGCAACGAUCGGUAGCCGGACUGAGAGGUUGAACGGCCACAUUGGGACUGAGACACGACCCAGACUCCUACGGGAGGCAGCAGUGGGGAAUAUUGCACAAUGGGGGAAACCCUGAUGCAGCGACGCCGCGUGGAGGAAGAAGGUCUUCGGAUUGUAAACUCCUGUUGUUGGGGAAGAUAAUGACGGUACCCAACAAGGAAGUGACGGCUAACUACGUGCCAGCAGCCGCGGUAAAACGUAGGUCACAAGCGUUGUCCGGAAUUACUGGGUGUAAAGGGAGCGCAGGCGGGAAGACAAGUUGGAAGUGAAAUCUAUGGGCUCAACCCAUAAACUGCUUUCAAAACUGCUUUUCUUGAGUAGUGCAGAGAUAGGCGGAAUUCCCGGUGUAGCGGUGGAAUGCGUAGAUAUCGGGAGGAACACCAGUGGCGAAGGCGGCCUACUGGGCACCAACUGACGCUGAGGCUCGAAAGUGUGGGUAGCAAACAGGAUUAGAUACCCUGGUAGUCCACACCGUAAACGAUGAUUACUAGGUGUUGGAGGAUUGACCCCUUCAGUGAGGCAGUUAACACAAUAAGUAAUCCACCUGGGGAG
rnacentral:rRNA from 1 species